rnacentral:tRNA from 1 species
AGAGAUAUGUCUGAUAAAAGAAUUACUUUGAUAAGGUAAACAAUAGAGGUGAAAAUCCUCUUAUUUCUA